rnacentral:rRNA from 1 species
UACGAGGGGGGCAAGCGUUGUUCGGAAUUACUGGGCGUAAAGGGUUUGUAGGUGGCUUGUUAAGUCAGACGUGAAAUCCCUCAGCUUAACUGGGGAACUGCGUCUGAGACUGGUGAGCUUGAGUGCAGGAGAGGAACGCGGAAUUCCAGGUGUAGCGGUGAAAUGCGUAGAUAUCUGGAGGAACACCGGUGGCGAAGGCGGCGUUCUGGACUGCAACUGACACUGAUGAACGAAAGCCAGGGGAGCAAACGGG